GAAAUAUGAAGAUUCACAUUAAAGCUUCUAACUUUUAAUUUUCACGAUUUAAUUUCGUUUAUAUUUCU
rnacentral:tRNA from 1 species